UACGUAGGGAGCAAGCGUUGUCCGGAUUUACUGGGUGUAAAGGGUGCGUAGGCGGCUUUGCAAGUCAGAAGUGAAAUCCAUGGGCUUAACCCAUGAACUGCUUUUGAAACUGCAGAGCUUGAGUGGAGUAGAGGUAGGCGGAAUUCCCGGUGUAGCGGUGAAAUGCGUAGAGAUCGGGAGGAACACCAGUGGCGAAGGCGGCCUGCUAGGCUCUAACUGACGCUGAGGCACGAAAGCGUGGGUAGCAAACAGG
rnacentral:rRNA from 1 species